UACGUAGGGUGCGAGCGUUAAUCGGAAUUACUGGGCGUAAAGCGUGCGCAGGCGGUUCGUUAAGACAGAUGUGAAAUCCCCGGGCUUAACCUGGGAACUGCAUUUGUGACUGGCGAGCUAGAGUAUGGCAGAGGGGGGUAGAAUUCCACGUGUAGCAGUGAAAUGCGUAGAGAUGUGGAGGAAUACCGAUGGCGAAGGCAGCCCCCUGGGCCAAUACUGACGCCCAUGCACGAAAGCGUGGGGAGCAAACAGG
rnacentral:rRNA from 1 species